rnacentral:rRNA from 1 species
UACGUAGGGUGCGAGCGUUGUCCGAAAUUAUUGGGCGUAAAGAGCUCGUAGGCGGUGUGUCACGUCGGCCGUGAAAACCUGCAGCUUAACUGUGGGCGUGCGGUCGAUACGGGCAUCACUGGAGUUCGGCAGGGGAGACUGGAAUUCCUGGUGUAGCGGUGAAAUGCGCAGAUAUCAGGAGGAACACCGGUGGCGAAGGCGGCCUGCUGGGCUAUGGCUGACACUGAGGCGCGACAGCGUGGGGAGCAAACAGG